rnacentral:rRNA from 1 species
GUACACGCUGUGACUAGCAUAUCAAUAAGCGGAGGAAAAGAAACUAACAAGGAUUCCCUCAGUAACGGCGAGUGAAGCGGGAAGAGCUCAAAUUUGAAAUCUUGAAAGGUCACCUUUCACGAAUUGUAGUUUAAAGAAGUGUUUUCUGUUACGAUCGUAAUAUAAGUUCUUUGGAAUAGGACAUCACAGAGGGUGAGAAUCCCGUCUAUGAUUGCGAUUUGUAGCUUUGUGAUACACUUUCAAAGAGUCGGGUUGUUUGGGAAUGCAGCCCAAAACGGGAGGUAAAUUUCUUCUAAGGCUAAAUAUUGGCGAGAGACCGAUAGCGAACAAGUACCGUGAGGGAAAGAUGAAAAGAACUUUGAAAAGAGAGUUAAAUAGUACGUGAAAUUGUCAAAAGGGAAGCGUUUAACACCAGUGUUGUUUUCUGAAAAUCAACCUCUGUUAGCUUUAUGCAUGUUUGUUUAGACCUAAUCAGCUAUCUUUCAUGUUCUAUUGUUUGCAGAGGUGCACUUUUCAGUUUACAGGUCAACAUCAGUUUUUUUUACUGUAAAAAAGUUAAAGAAAGGUAGCUCAUGGCUCCGGUCGUGAGUGUUAUAGUCUUUUUCCUAUGCGGUAGGAGAGACUGAGGUCUGCAGUGUAGGCUAUUUGGCUAGAUACUCAGGUGCUAUGUGAUACCAUUUCAUAAACAACUUGUUGAUUAUGUUUUGUCUAUUGCAUACUCGCUUGUACUAUCAUACCUACGCUUAGGAUGUUGAGUAGCGACAUACGCAC